AUGAAACCCCAACCAUUCUUCCCUUCUUUAAUGGUGCUGGCUUGCGAUGGCUCCGACCUCCUCGUCAGGUUCGAGCUGCUCUCGCUUCUCCGUUGCUCAACUCUUCGCGGGAUCUUCAUUGCUUUUCAAACUGAUUUCGGUACAGAUCUAAGUAUUAGCCCCCCUGUUGGAAACCUCGAGGAUCACUGUAAAGACAUCACUUUCCAGUUAUUUUGGUAG